ACGAACGCUGGCGGCACGCUUAACACAUGCAAGUCGAACGAGAGAAGAGAAGCUUGCUUUUCUGAUCUAGUGGCGGACGGGUGAGUAACACGUGAGCAAUCUGCCUUUCAGAGGGGGAUACCGAUUGGAAACGAUCGUUAAUACCGCAUAACAUAAUUGAACCGCAUGAUUUGAUUAUCAAAGAUUUAUCGCUGAAAGAUGAGCUCGCGUCUGAUUAGCUAGUUGGUAAGGUAACGGCUUACCAAGGCGACGAUCAGUAGCCGGACUGAGAGGUUGAUCGGCCACAUUGGGACUGAGACACGGCCCAGACUCCUACGGGAGGCAGCAGUGGGGAAUAUUGCACAAUGGAGGAGACUCUGAUGCAGCGAUGCCGCGUGAGGGAAGAAGGUUUUAGGAUUGUAAACCUCUGUCUUCAGGGACGAAAAAAGACGGUACCUGAGGAGGAAGCUCCGGCUAACUACGUGCCAGCAGCCGCGGUAAUACGUAGGGAGCGAGCGUUGUCCGGAAUUACUGGGUGUAAAGGGAGCGUAGGCGGGAUCGCAAGUCAGAUGUGAAAACUAUGGGCUUAACCCAUAAACUGCAUUUGAAACUGUGGUUCUUGAGUGAAGUAGAGGUAAGCGGAAUUCCUAGUGUAGCGGUGAAAUGCGUAGAUAUUAGGAGGAACAUCAGUGGCGAAGGCGGCUUACUGGGCUUUAACUGACGCUGAGGCUCGAAAGCGUGGGGAGCAAACAGGAUUAGAUACCCUGGUAGUCCACGCCGUAAACGAUGAUUACUAGGUGUGGGGGGACUGACCCCUUCCGUGCCGCAGCAAACGCAAUAAGUAAUCCACCUGGGGAGUACGACCGCAAGGUUGAAACUCAAAGGAAUUGACGGGGGCCCGCACAAGCAGUGGAGUAUGUGGAUUAAUUCGAAGCAACGCGAAGAACCUUACCAGGUCUUGACAUCGUAUGCAUAGCUCAGAGAUGAGUGAAAUCUCUUCGGAGACAUAUAGACAGGUGGUGCAUGGUUGUCGUCAGCUCGUGUCGUGAGAUGUUGGGUUAAGUCCCGCAACGAGCGCAACCCUUACUGUUAGUUGCUACGCAAGAGCACUCUAGCAGGACUGCCGUUGACAAAACGGAGGAAGGUGGGGAUGACGUCAAAUCAUCAUGCCCCUUAUGACCUGGGCCUCACACGUACUACAAUGGCUGUCAACAGAGGGAUGCAAAGCCGCGAGGUGGAGCGAACCCCUAAAAGCAGUCUUAGUUCGGAUUGUAGGCUGCAACCCGCCUACAUGAAGUCGGAAUUGCUAGUAAUCGCAGAUCAGCAUGCUGCGGUGAAUACGUUCCCGGGCCUUGUACACACCGCCCGUCACGCCAUGGGAGUCGGUAACACCCGAAGCCUGUAGUCUAACCGCAAGGAGGACGCAGUCGAAGGUGGGAUUGAUGACUGGGGUG
rnacentral:rRNA from 1 species